rnacentral:rRNA from 1 species
GACGAACGCUGGCGGCGUGCUUAACACAUGCAAGUCGAACGGAAAGGCCCUGCUUUUGUGGGGUGCUCGAGUGGCGAACGGGUGAGUAACACGUGAGUAACCUGCCCUUGACUUUGGGAUAACUUCAGGAAACUGGGGCUAAUACCGGAUAGGAGCUCCUGCUGCAUGGUGGGGGUUGGAAAGUUUCGGCGGUUGGGGAUGGACUCGCGGCUUAUCAGCUUGUUGGUGGGGUAGUGGCUUAUCAAGGCUUUGACGGGUAGCCGGCCUGAGAGGGUGACCGGCCACAUUGGGACUGAGAUACGGCCCAGACUCCUACGGGAGGCAGCAGUGGGGAAUAUUGCACAAUGGGCGGAAGCCUGAUGCAGCAACGCCGCGUGCGGGAUGACGGCCUUCGGGUUGUAAACCGCUUUCGCCUGUGACGAAGCGGGAGUGACGGUAAUGGGUAAAGAAGCACCGGCUAACUACGUG